rnacentral:rRNA from 1 species
UAGGGAAUCUUCCGCAAUGGACGCAAGUCUGACGGAGCAACGCCGCGUGCGUGAAGAAGGAUUUCGGUUCGUAAAACUCUGUUGUUAGAGAAGAACAGCGCAUAGAGUAACUGUUAUGCGUGUGACGGUAUCUAACCAGAAAGCCACGGCUAACUACGUGCCAGCAGCCGCGGUAAUACGUAGGUGGCAAGCGUUGUCCGGAUUUAUUGGGCGUAAAGCGGGCGCAGGCGGUCAAUUAAGUCUGAUGUGAAAGCCCCCGGCUCAACCGGGGAGGGUCCUUGGAAACUGGUUGACUUGAGUGCAGAAGAGGAGAGUGGAAUUCCCUGUGUAGCGGUGAAAUGCGUAGAUAUAUGGAGGAACACCAGUGGCGAAGGCGACUCUCUGGUCUGUAACUGACGCUGAGGCUCGAAAGCGUGGGUAGCAAACAGG